rnacentral:tRNA from 1 species
CCGGGGCUGCUCGGCGGCCAGGCGUGGUGGCUGCUGCUGCCGGCCGGUGCCGUGGGCGCCCUGUUCGUCCGCCCCGGGC